CAUUUCUCCCUCCCCUCUCUCUAUAUAUAUCAAAUUUCAAGAUCUCUCUCUCUCACACACACACAGAAAAUGGCAAAACGAGCUUGAGAAGAACUCCAUGUACAUGGAAAAUGGUGAAGCAAGCAAGAAUUUCGACGAUGAUGGCCAUUCACGUCGAAGAACAGGACCAAACAGUCCAUACGAAGAAAUGAUAGAUAGAUGUAGCGGUCCACUAACUGCCAGAGUUGCGAUCCAUGAUUAAGUUGGUGAUAUUCCUUGUAAUCUGUACAACAAUCAUCGAUGAAUCGAAGUCAUAUACUCCCACAGGACCCGAUUGCUACAAAAACAUUCCAAAGUAUUGUGUUGAUGAGGUUCGCGAGGCUAUAUGUGCCGGAGAGAAUACUCCAAUUGAAGAAAUAAUCGAAUGUCGCAAUUCAUUUUUAUUUGAAGUUGAUGGCGAUUGUUUCACCAAUAGAAUGACCAUUGAUCUUGGAAAAUCUUGCAAAGUUAGCCCAGAAGAAACAACAUUGUUAGCAGGUCCAAUUUGGAGAUUUAUCAAUUAUGGAUCUCGUUAAGAUAUAUGUCUGCACCACCAAACCUUUACACUAGAGUAAGGUUUGGAUAUUACUAGAGUAAAAUGUUGUGACUCAUUGAAAUAUAUUUUGAAUUAUAGCUGGAUAUUACUAAAUUAAAUAAUAAAUGAACACUAUUCAACUUAA